AUUGAACGCUGGCGGCAUGCUUUACACAUGCAAGUCGAACGGCAGCACGGACUUCGGUCUGGUGGCGAGUGGCGAACGGGUGAGUAAUACAUCGGAACGUGCCCAGUUGUGGGGGAUAACUACUCGAAAGAGUAGCUAAUACCGCAUGAGAACUGAGGUUGAAAGCAGGGGAUCGUAAGACCUUGCGCAAAUGGAGCGGCCGAUGGCAGAUUAGGUAGUUGGUGGGAUAAAAGCUUACCAAGCCGACGAUCUGUAGCUGGUCUGAGAGGACGACCAGCCACACUGGGACUGAGACACGGCCCAGACUCCUACGGGAGGCAGCAGUGGGGAAUUUUGGACAAUGGGCGAAAGCCUGAUCCAGCAAUGCCGCGUGCAGGAUGAAGGCCUUCGGGUUGUAAACUGCUUUUGUACGGAACGAAAAGCUUCGGGCUAAUACCCUGGAGUCAUGACGGUACCGUAAGAAUAAGCACCGGCUAACUACGUGCCAGCAGCCGCGUAAAAC
rnacentral:rRNA from 1 species